AUUGAACGCUGGCGGCAGGCCUAACACAUGCAAGUCGAGCGAGCGGAGGACGGGUGAGUAAUGUCUGGGAAACUGCCUGAUGGAUGGGGAUAACUACUGGAAACGGUAGCGAAUCACGCAUACACUAAGAUGUGCGCAGAUGGGAUUAGCUAGUAGGUGGGGUAAUGGCUCACCUAGGCGACGAUCCCUAGCUGGUCUGAGAGGAUGACCAGCACACUUGGAACUGAGCAACGGCCCAAACUCCUACGGGAGGAAGCAGUGGGGAAUCUUCCACAUUGGGCGAAAGCCUGAUGCAGCACUGCCGCGUGGAUGAAGAAGGCUUUCGGGUUGUAAAGUUCUUUCAUCGGGGAGGCGGUACUCGAAUAGGAAGCCCCGGCUAACUCCGUGCCAGCAGCCGCGGUAAUUC
rnacentral:rRNA from 1 species